ACGGGUGAGUAACACGUGGGAACCUACCUUCUGGUACGGAACAACCAAGGGAAACUUUGGCUAAUACCGUAUACGGCCUCCGGGUGAAGGAUUUAUCGCCGGAAGAGGGGCCCGCGUCCGAUUAGGUAGUUGGUGAGGUAAAGGCUCACCAAGCCGACGAUCGGUAGCUGGUCUGAGAGGAUGACCAGCCACACUGGGACUGAGACACGGCCCAGACUCCUACGGGAGGCAGCAGUGGGGAAUAUUGGACAAUGGGCGCAAGCCUGAUCCAGCCAUGCCGCGUGAGUGAUGAAGGCCUUCGGGUUGUAAAGCUCUUUCACCCACGACGAUGAUGACGGUAGUGGGAGAAGAAGCCCCGGCUAACUUCGUGCCAGCAGCCGCGGUAAUACGAAGGGGGCAAGCGUUGUUCGGAAUGACUGGGCGUAAAGGGCGCGUAGGCGGUUCGUUGCGUCAGAUGUGAAAGCCCCGGGCUCAACCUGGGAACUGCAUUUGAUACGGGCGAGCUUGAAUCCAAGAGAGGGUGGUGGAAUUCCCAGUGUAGAGGUGAAAUUCGUAGA
rnacentral:rRNA from 1 species